rnacentral:rRNA from 1 species
CCUACGGGCGUCUGCAGUGAGGAAUAUUGGUCAAUGGACGAGAGUCUGAACCAGCCAAGUAGCGUGAAGGAUGACUGCCCUAUGGGUUGUAAACUUCUUUUAUAUGGGAAUAAAAUGUUCCACGUGUGGGCUUUUGUAUGUACCAUAUGAAUAAGGAUCGGCUAACUCCGUGCCAGCAGCCGCGGUAAUACGGAGGAUCCGAGCGUUAUCCGGAUUUAUUGGGUUUAAAGGGAGCGUAGGUGGAUUGUUAAGUCAGUUGUGAACGUUUGCGGCUCAACCGUAGAAUUGCAGUUGAAACUGGCAGUCUUGAGUACAGUAGAGGUGUGCGGAAUUCGUGGUGUAGCGGUGAAAUGCUUAGAUAUCACGAAGAACUCCGAUUGCGAAGGCAGCUCACUGGACUGCAACUGACACUGAGGCUCGAAAGUGUGGGUAUCAAACAGGAUUAGAUACCCUUGUAGUC